rnacentral:rRNA from 1 species
GAAUAGGGGAGGCGUAGGGAAACCGAGUCUUAAUAGGGCGUGUAGUUGCUAGGAUUAGACCCGAAACCGGGCGAUCUAUCCAUGGCCAGGUUGAAGGUUGAGUAACAUCAACUGGAGGACCGAACCCACGUAUGUUGAAAAAUGCGGGGAUGAGCUGUGGAUCGGAGUGAAAGGCUAAUCAAGCCCGGAGAUAGCUGGUUCUCCUCGAAAGCUAUUUAGGUAGCGCCUCGUGUCUCACCAUUGGGGGUAGAGCACUGUUUCGGCUAGGGGGUCAUCCCGACUUACCAACCCGAUGCAAACUCCGAAUACCAAUGAGUGCAAUCACGGGAGACACACUGCGGGUGCUAACGUCCGUCGUGGAAAGGGAAACAACCCAGACCGUCAGCUAAGGUCCCAAAAUUAUAGUUAAGUGGGAAACGAUGUGAAAAGGCCCAGACAGCCAGGAGGUUGGCUUAGAAGCAGCCAUUCCUUUAAAGAGUGCGUAAUAGCUCACUGGUCGAGUCGGUUUGCGCGGAAGAUUUAACGGGGCUAAACUAUAUACCGAAGCUGCGGAUCGCAAUUUAUUGCGAUGGUAGGAGAGCGUUCUGUUAGCCUUUGAAGGUGAACUGAGAGGUUUGCUGGAGGU